CGUGAGAUGUCCUGUUAAGUCAGGUAACGAGCGAGAUCCCUGCCAUUAGUUGCCAUCACUACUCUCAGGAGUAGUGGGGCGAAUUAAUGGGACCGCCGUAGUUAAUACGGAGGAAGGAAGGGGCCACGGCAGGUCAGUAUGCCCCGAAACUCUGGGGCCACACGCGGGCUGCAAUGGUAGUGACAAUGGGUUCCUAACUCGAAAGAGAGCGGCAAUCCCUAAACGCUACCACAGUUAUGACUGAGGGCUGUAACUCGCCCUCACGAAUAUGGAAUCCCUAGUAACCGCGUGUCAUUACCGCGCGGUGAAUACGUCCCUGCUCCUUGCACACACCGCCCGUCGUUUCAUCGAAGUUUGCUUUUAGCGAGGUGAUGUUUAAUUGACAUUAUCGAACUUGAGGUAAGUGACGAGGGAAAAGUCGUAACAAGGUGACCGUAGGGGAACCUGCGGUCGGAUCACCUCCU
rnacentral:rRNA from 1 species